rnacentral:rRNA from 1 species
AGAAUCAACGCUGGCGGCGUGCCUAACACAUGCAAGUCGCACGAGAAAGUGGAGCAAUCCAUGAGUACAGUGGCGCACGGGUGAGUAACACGUGAAUGAUCUACCUCCGAGUGGGAAUAACUGAGAGAAAUCUUAGCUAAUACCGCAUAAUACCCACGGGUCAAAGCAGCAAUGCGCUUGGAGAGGAGUUCGCGGCCGAUUAGCUAGUGCGGGUAAUGGCCCACCAAGGCGAUGAUCGGUA